GACAGCAGUUGUCUGACAUUUCUCCUUUUGUGGUUGUUUUAGGGAAAAACUUAAAGUGGAUAUGAGAAGUGAAGAAAGUGAUCAUAGGAGAAAAUCAUCUCAGAUCAACCACUUCAGAAGAACCAGAUUCCACUUCUGUGGCCAGGACUUUUAUGUUAUGGCUGGUCUG
rnacentral:lncRNA from 1 species